GAAUGCUGACAUAAGUAACGAUAAAGCGGGUGAAAAGCCCGCUCGCCGGAAGACCAAGGGUUCCUGUCCAACGUUAAUCGGGGCAGGGUGAGUCGACCCCUAAGGCGAGGCCGAAAGGCGUAGUCGAUGGGAAACAGGUUAAUAUUCCUGUACUUGGUGUUACUGCGAAGGGGGGACGGAGAAGGCUAUGUUGGCCGGGCGACGGUUGUCCCGGUUUAAGCGUGUAGGCUGGUUUUCCAGGCAAAUCCGGAAAAUCAAGGCUGAGGCGUGAUGACGAGGCACUACGGUGCUGAAGCAACAAAUGCCCUGCUUCCAGGAAAAGCCUCUAAGCAUCAGGUAACAUCAAAUCGUACCCCAAACCGACACAGGUGGUCAGGUAGAGAAUACCAAGGCGCUUGAGAGAACUCGGGUGAAGGAACUAGGCAAAAUGGUGCCGUAACUUCGGGAGAAGGCACGCUGAUAUGUAGGUGAAGCGACUUGCUCGUGG
rnacentral:rRNA from 1 species